rnacentral:lncRNA from 1 species
AUUUGAAGAAGCUAUUAUCAUUUUUGAUUUCUCUAUGUUGAAAAAGCGUGAAAGAAAUGGAUGCUUCACCAUUCUUUCUUUCUGAAGAGGAUUGGGCUGGUUUGAAAAAUUCAGAAAUAUAAGCCUUCAAUGCUUAGUCAUUAGAAUAGUCAAUUAAAUGAUAAUCACUUCAAAUUAACAUUAAGAUUGACUAUUAAACAAGACAUUGUUUGCUGUUUAUGUAAUGAUUUGCGCAAAUAUUGAAACAAAUGGCUAAUUCUUUCUACCUUUUUCCUUGUCAUUUAGAAGAAUGCAC